rnacentral:rRNA from 1 species
UAGGGAAUCUUCGGCAAUGGGGGGAACCCUGACCGAGCAACGCCGCGUGAGUGAAGAAGGUUUUCGGAUCGUAAAGCUCUGUUGUUAAGGAAGAACGAGUGUGAGAAUGGAAAGUUCAUACUGUGACGGUACUUAACCAGAAAGGGACGGCUAACUACGUGCCAGCAGCCGCGGUAAUACGUAGGUCCCGAGCGUUGUCCGGAUUUAUUGGGCGUAAAGCGAGCGCAGGCGGUCAAUUAAGUCUGAUGUGAAAGCCCCCGGCUCAACCGGGGAGGGUCAUUGGAAACUGGUUGACUUGAGUGCAGAAGAGGAGAGUGGAAUUCCAUGUGUAGCUGUGAAAUGCGUAGAUAUAUGGAGGAACACCGGUGGCGAAAGCGGCUCUCUGGUCUGUAGCUGACGCUGAGGCUCGAAAGCGUGGGGAGCGAACAGG